UAGGCUAUUAAAGCCCACUAUGGGCUGAACUCAUGAGAUGUCAGUCCAACAUGAUCCAAAUUAUUGAUGAUAGUUGAUACUGAUAUUCCUGCAUAUGCCAUAGUAGCUGAUAUGAUAGUAAAUCAGAAAUAUUCUUUUACUCUGCUUUUAACACCAAUAUUUAUUCUAUUAUUCUGUCGUUCUUUAGUUUGCUGCAAAGAACUCGAUAAUUUAAUGAAGGUCAGUGUGUUGAACCUAUGUUUGAACUCUUUGCAUUAUGCCCUCUGGUAAUAUUUCAUUAUUAAGGCAUAAUUGCAGAGAGUUCAUACUACUCCGUCAUCCAAUUAUGAUUUUUAAUCUCUGGUCAAUUAUCUUAACUACACUGAAGUAUUGGUACUGUAGAAUUGCCUAUGAUGGAGCAUGCAACCAUUCUUGGAUGAUAAUGAUGAUGUACAUUGUCAAUGCUUUAAUCUCUUUAGGUGUAACUACUAAUUUAUUUCCAGUAAACCAUGUUUCUGUCUUUUGAUAUCUCGUCAAGAACUAAACACACUAAUAAUGUGAUGUUCUCUUUUCUCUUUUCUGAGCAUUCUUGUUAUACCAGUGAACAAUCAUGUUAGAAUUUGGUGCUCUUCAUAUAGUCUAUUGAUUCUUCAUUCAUCUUUAUGAUGGGUAGCAUUGAUACAUUAAUCGUUAGUAGUUGGUUGCUUGAUAACCUACGAGCUGUAGUGGAUGUUUUGUGAAUACUUUAGUCUGUGCAAGUUGUUGGCGAUACAAAAUGCCGUAGGGAGUUUAUCGUGUUCCUAUAUUUAUCUGUUCUUAUAAGUAAUGCACUUUUUCCAAUAUGAGAUGAUCAGUCGUUCUCAUUGCCCUCUACUACUAAGUGCAUGUUGGAUUCCCAUUCUUAGUUGCAAUUUGCUUUUCCUGGAUUUGAGUAGCUAUUGAAAUCUUAGUUCGUUUAUGUCAUUGAGUCGAUAAUUCUAUAAGCUUGAAUUUGUUUGAUCAGUAGAUCUUCCUAGAAAAUUGAAUUCACAAUUUAGUUGUUGUUAAGGCACCAUUUUGUUUGAUCUUC
rnacentral:lncRNA from 1 species